GUGCUUGCUUCGGCAGCACAUGUACUGAAAACUGGAAGGAUACAGAGAUUAGCACAGCCCCUAUACAAGGAUGACAUGCAAAUUCGUGAAGCAUUCCAUAUUUUU